GAUACUUGGUGGCUCUGAAUAAUA
rnacentral:siRNA from 1 species